rnacentral:tmRNA from 1 species
GGGGAUGUAACGGCUUCGACGGGUGAAGAGUGCAGUAGGCAGCGUGUCGAGCUUCUUGGUAUGCUCGUAAAUCUCGCCAAGAAUUGUGCAAAUGCGAACGAUUACGCAUACGCGAUGGCAGCUUAAAUAGCCAUCUGUUCCGCGCCAGGUUCGUCCACUGGCGGGCGUUGGGGCAUCAACUUUAGGUGGACUGGCAACUCAGAUGCCGACUGAAUACGGAGUUGCAAGAUUGAUCAGUCUUUGCGGGGUUCUUGCCUUGCCAUCCGGCGUACGAACUCUGUGAGCAUUUAAUAGGAGGGCUACACACGUAGACGCUUGCCUGAACAUUCAUUCGGACCCGGGUUCGACUCCCGGCAUCUCCACCU